rnacentral:lncRNA from 1 species
AGGGUUGGAGGAUACGAAUUCUCAGCACUUUCAGCCUGCUCCAUGGAACAGUCAAGCAACUUUGGGGCCAGAGAAAGGACUCAGUAAAGAAAUGCCAGGUUCUGACAGAAGUCUCACAAGUAACAUGAUCAAGAGAGAGGAGGACCUGAUUCUUCAUAAAAUAGGACUACUCUUCAUCCACUUCAUCCAUUUAGUGAUCCUUUCCUGUACUUUUCAGCUCUAUUCUCUGUGGAGAGUUCAAGUGACAGGUAACUGGAGUAUAAUGGGUAACUUCAAGAUCCUAGGAAUAUCCACGUCCAGAGCUUGUUUCCACAUCAUUAAAAUCGGAAGAAUAACAGCAUACUCUUUACUGAAUUGUUGAAAGGAUUAAAUUAG